rnacentral:rRNA from 1 species
CCUACGGGAGGCAGCAGUGGGGAAUAUUGCACAAUGGGGGAAACCCUGAUGCAGCGACGCCGCGUGAGUGAAGAAGUAAUUCGUUACGUAAAGCUCUAUCAGUAGGGGAGUAAAUGACGGUACCUGAGUAAGAAGCCCCGGCUAAAUACGUUCCAGCAGCCGCGGUAAUACGUAGGGGGCAAGCGUUAUCCGGAUUUACUGGGUGUAAAGGGGGCGUAGACGGUGCGCCAAGUCUGGAGUGAAAUGCCGCAGCUUAACUGCGGAACUGCUUUGGAAACUGGCGAACUAGAGUGCGGGAGGGGUAAGCGGAAUUCGUAGUGUAGCGGUGAAAUGCGUAGAUAUCAGGAGGAACACCGAUGGCGAAGGCGGCUUACUGGACCGUAACUGACGUUGAGGCUCGAAAGCGUGGGGAGCAAACAGGAUUAGAUACCCGUGUAGUC